rnacentral:tRNA from 2 species
GGCCCAUUGGUCAAGAGGUCAAGACGUCACCCUCUCACGGUGAAAUCAUGGGUUCGAUUCCCGUAUGGGUCA